UAAUCUCUGGCUAACCGGAGAAAAAACCCACCCACCCCCAUGAAAAAAGAAAAAAACAAACAAAUUUUCAUCGAAAAACAAAAAAGAAAAAAUUAUCUUUCAAUUUUUUUCGACUUUCAAUGAAAAUCUACCCCGUUAAUUUUCGUAAUUUUUCUCCUUAUUCUAGUUUUUUUUUCUUUCCUGGCCCUCUUUACCUCUCUAUUAACCCUUUUUAUUUCGUCUCUCUGCAAAGUUGACGUGUUCUGGAAACGGUCGAGUAGGAUGAUGUUUCCCGUUCUCAUCCGGUCCAUUCUUCACCUUAAAAUCGAAGAGUGACAACCUCUUGUGUCAACAACUUUUUUUGCGGCCUGUAAUUUCCUUUUUCCUUUCUGAAAAAACAAAAGAAAGAAAGAAACAAUAAUUUGUUGUUAGUUUAAUGUUGUGCAUUGUUUACACUAUUU
rnacentral:ribozyme from 1 species